rnacentral:rRNA from 1 species
AUUGAACGCUGGCGGCAGGCCUAACACAUGCAAGUCGAACGAGUGGCGGACGGGUGAGUAAUGUCUGGGAAACUGCCUGAUGGAGGGGGAUAACUACUGGACACGGUAGCUAAUACCGCAUACCAUCGGAUGUGCCCAGAUGGGAUUAGCUAGUAGGUGGGGGAACGGCUCACCUAGGCGACGAUCCCUAGCUGGUCUUAGAGGAGGAACAGCCACACUGGAACUGAGACACGGUCCAGACUCCGACGGGAGGCAGUAGUGGGGAAUAUUGCACAAUGGGCGCAAGCCUGAUGCAGCCAUGCCUCGUGUAUGAAGAAGGCCUUCGGGUUGUAAAGUACUUUCAGCGGGGAGGCGUUACCCGCAGAAGAAGCACCGGCUAACUACGUGCCAGCAGCCGCGGUAAUAC